UGGGGAAUUUUGGACAAUGGGCGGAAGCCUGAUGCAGCGACGCCGCGUGAGGGAUGAAGGCCUUCGGGUUGUAAACCUCUUUCAGCAGGGACGAAGCGUGAGUGACGGUACCUGCAGAAGAAGCACCGGCUAACUACGUGCCAGCAGCCGCGGUAAUACGUAGGGUGCGAGCGUUGUCCGGAAUUACUGGGCGUAAAGAGUUCGUAGGCGGUUUGUCGCGUCGUUUGUGAAAACCCGGGGCUCAACUUCGGGCUUGCAGGCGAUACGGGCAGACUUGAGUGUUUCAGGGGAGACUGGAAUUCCUGGUGUAGCGGUGAAAUGCGCAGAUAUCAGGAGGAACACCGAUGGCGAAGGCAGGUCUCUGGGCCACUACUGACGCUGAGAAGCGAAAGCAUGGGGAGCGAAC
rnacentral:rRNA from 1 species